rnacentral:lncRNA from 1 species
GCAAUAGAUGUAGAUGUGCAGAAGUGUGGUAUAUCCGGGUCAGCUGUGUUUACAUUCUGAGAAGAUGUCACAGUGGUCCCCACAGAGGCCACACCAAUCACAUCCUCACUAGCAAGGGCCGAGCACUUCUCAUCCUCAUAUCCCCACCGGCAUCUCUUUCUUCCACAAUAGCUAUACUGCUGAUGUUCUAAAAUUAUUGGUUUUUUUUUAAUUUUAAAAACUUAUUCAAAGAAAGAGGAAAGGAGAGAGAGAGGAAUGGGGAAGAGAGAGGAAAAGAGAGGGAGUGAGGGAGAGAGAGAAAGAAGAGAGAGAAGUGAAUUUGAACAUAUGUGUGCCUAACCAUGACAUGCUGUCAGGGUCAGAGAUCAAAGGUCAGUUCUCUCCUCCCACUGUAGAUUCUGGGAACUGGCCUUAGGUUUUCCAGUUUGAGCAGGCAAGCUCUUUUCACCUACUGAGCCAUCUUACCUCAAAGUACUUCUCAUUUAUGUCUGCAUGGUUAAUAAGGAGGCUAAACACUUCUAGAAACAUUGUUAGUUGUUCAUAUUUCUUGUUUUGAGAACUCAUUGGCAACUUGAAGUUUUGUUUUUUUUUUGUUUAAUUUUUGUAGCUCUUUAGAUAUUCAUCUAUUAACUGCCCUCUGAAGUACAGCUGACAAAGGUUUCCUUCUUUUCUGUAUGCUGUCUGCCCACUCUCUUCCGUUGCUGUGCAUUUGCCUUUUAAAAACAAAUUGGGUAACACUAGGUUCCUCUAGAGAGUUCAAGCAGAGAGAGCUUUAUAGUAGGAACUUUCCUGGUGGCUCUGACCAAGAACCUGAUAUAAAGUAAUUUAGGAGGAUUUCUUUUGGAAUUACAGUUUGUGAGAGUGGAGUCGAUGGGUUAGGUGCGGGGCAGGUAUGGCAGCAUUUAUGGGGCAGGAGUAGGGGUGGCUAAGCAUCCCUUCACAUGGGCUGGCCAGGACUCAGAGAGCAGAGAACACAGAGGCUGGUUGUCUUUCUCCUUUCCCUCUUUUGAUUCAGGCUGCUGCAGACCAUGGUGUGGUGCUGUUCACAUCCAGGGUGGCUCUUCCCUUAUAAACCCGCCCUGUUUGGGGUCUCUCUCACAGCUCCUUGAGUUUUGGAGUGUUCUUUCUUACAUUUCUAUUUCUCUCUGCCAGCUAGUGCACCAAUGCAGCGUUUUCUGUAAGCUGCACAAGUCAGCGCCAGGCCCCAUUGUGACCAGGUCUGUUGGGCUUGGUGUGCUGCUUCCAGAAACUCAGCUACUCUCUGCCAUGUGUGUGUGAGCAGCGGCCCUCCGGGUUUUAGGAUGAGCUCGGAACAGAGUGCUUGCAAGGUAUUUAUGGACACCGGAGAGCCAGGGUGUAGACAGCAGGACUACCACACAAAGUGACAUUGGAGACUCUGCUCUCAAGCCAUCAUGGUUCAACUUUUCAUUUGGUUCAGGCAUGGGAGAUUCUGGCAUACAAAGUCUUGACACUGACACCUCAGAGGUCUAUAUCCUGGCCCUGUGUGACAUCUGCUAGUGCCUGGAAUGACAAGAGCCUUUCCAUUGUGUUUGUAGCUAAAUUCUGCCACCUUCCCUACUGUGCAAUAAACCUUAAAAACUAGAGUUUUGUUUUGUUGUUGUUGUUGUUGUUUUAAAGAAAAGAUUGGAAUAGGGCUGACAAGAUGGCUCAGUGGGCAAACAUGAUUUCUACCAAGGCUAACGACCUUAAGUCAAUCCCUGAGACCCACAUAGUGGGAGGAAAGAGUCGCUUCCUAUACAUUCUCCUCUGGCUCCAUACGUGAGGCCUGGCACUUGGGUCCCCCUCCCCCAUC